rnacentral:lncRNA from 1 species
CAAGCCCUGAAAUCUUGUCAAGAUCUUAUCUUGGGGUAAUGACUUGCUGCCAAAAAAAAAAAAAAAAAAAAAAAGAAGAAGAAGAAAAAGAAAGCAAGGAAGGAAGAAAACAAAGGGUUGAAAUAUUGAUUUUUCUUUGGAGGAAUAACCAGGGCUUUGCUGGAGAGAACACCCAGUUUCUCCCCGAGGCAAGCUGAGUUGUCCGUGACAGCAGCCAGGGCUGGCUUGAAGCAGCCGCUCUGCCUGGGGAGCUCCCUAAAUGGACUUUGGUCUCAAUGCUGUGACUCUUUGUCGGGGGUUUGGAUGUGGGAACACCACGGAAGGUGAUCUCCUGUCUCGUCUCAACUCCCCUGAUCUCAAGGAAAGAUGAGCGAAGAGGCAAAGGAGAAAACCGCCAAGCCUGCUCAUAGGAAGAGGAAAGGGAAAAAGGUAAGUGAACCAACCUGGCAUUGGGCAGUGAUCGCUCUCUUGCUGUCUGGCUCUGGCUCUCACUCGUGCGGCCAUGUUGUGGUCUAAGGCUCAUCAAGGCAGUUGAGUGAGCCUUGCUGUACACGUGUCAUGAUGCUGUCAGUGUGUGUGUAUUCAGGAAAGUGGUAAGUUUCCGUUUCCCAUUUUUCCCCAUUGGAGCUUUCAAACGGGUGGUUCUGUGGCUUUGGUUUAACGAGCGUCUCUCGACGGCAAGGUUGAAAGGAUGAGAAGUGAGGUUUGUUGCGCAGGACAGAUCGUAUCGAAAGCUGGAGUUUCUUUGUCAGGCUAGUGAUUUAGAGACGCAUCUGUGUUGUGGAGUGUUUUGUGUAGCACCUGAUCUGUUUGGAACAGAACAUUGCUGUCACCUUGCAGGGAUCGAACUGUCUCAGCUUAAAGAGAAAAGGUCAUGACUUGGCUGCAAGAGAGUUAGAGUGACAUUCAUGUCCAUGUUCAAAUAUUACCCCUCUAUUUAGAAGGAAAUCUGCAGGGAUGUGUUCAGUGGGAAUGGGGGGUCCCACUGAGGUCACUGCUGACACGCACAGCCGUUGUCAAAGACUUUAAAAAGUAAGAGGUCCAGUGGUAGAGCGCUUACCUAGGAAGCACAAGGCCCUGGGUUCGGUCCCCAGCUCCAAAAAAAAGAACC